AUUGAACGCUGGCGGCAGGCCUAACACAUGCCAGUCGAACGGUAACAGGAAGAAGCUUGCUUCUUUGCUGACGAGUGGCGGACGGGUGAGUAAUGUCUGGGAAACUGCCUGAUGGAGGGGGAUAACUACUGGAAACGGUAGCUAAUACCGCAUAACGUCGCAAGACCAAAGAGGGGGACCUUCGGGCCUCUUGCCAUCGGAUGUGCCCAGAUGGGAUUAGCUAGUAGGUGGGGUAACGGCUCACCUAGGCGACGAUCCCUAGCUGGUCUGAGAGGAUGACCAGCCACACUGGAACUGAGACACGGUCCAGACUCCUACGGGAGGCAGCAGUGGGGAAUAUUGCACAAUGGGCGCAAGCCUGAUGCAGCCAUGCCGCGUAUAUGAAGAAGGCCUUCGGAUUGUAAAGUACUUUCAGCGGGGAGGAAGGGAGUAAAGUUAAUACCUUUGCUCAUUGACGUUACCCGCAGAAGAAGCACCGGCUAACUCCGUG
rnacentral:rRNA from 1 species